rnacentral:rRNA from 1 species
AACGAACGCUGGCGGCGUGCCUAACACAUGCAAGUCGAGCGAGAAAAGGGGGGUACGUCCCUGAGUACAGCGGCGCACGGGUGAGUAACACGUAGGUAAUCUACCCUCGAGCCCGGAACUAACCUACCGAAAGGUGGGCUAAUACCGGAUAUGACCACGGGAGCUUCGGCUUCUGCGGUGAAAGGUGGCCUCUGCUUGCAAGCUACUACUUGA